UGAGGAAUAUUGGUCAAUGGGCGCAAGCCUGAACCAGCCAUCCCGCGUGCAGGAAGACGGCCCUAUGGGUUGUAAACUGCUUUUCCAGGGGGAGAAUUUUUCUGUUGUGACAGGAAUUGACGAUACCCUGGGAAUAAGCAUCGGCUAACUCCGUGCCAGCAGCCGCGGUAAUACGGAGGAUGCGAGCGUUAUCCGGAUUUAUUGGGUUUAAAGGGUGCGUAGGCGGAUUGAUAAGUCAGUGGUGAAAACCUGCAGCUUAACUGUAGACUUGCCGUUGAUGCUGUCAGUCUUGAGUGUGGUCAAGGUAGGCGGAAUGUGUAAUGUAGCGGUGAAAUGCUUAGAUAUUACACAGAACACCGAUUGCGAAGACAGCUGACUGGGCCAUUACUGACGCUGAUG
rnacentral:rRNA from 1 species